UACGUAGGGUGCUAGCGUUAUUCGGAAUUACUGGGCGUAAAGCGUGCGUAGGCGGUUCGUUAAGUCAGCUGUGAAAGCCCCGGGCUCAACCUGGGAAUUGCGGUUGAAACUGGCGAACUAGAAUCUGGCAGAGGGGGGUGGAAUUCCACGUGUAGCAGUGAAAUGCGUAGAGAUGUGGAGGAACACCGAUGGCGAAGGCAGCCCCCUGGGCUGAGAUUGACGCUCAGGCACGAAAGCGUGGGGAGCAAACAGG
rnacentral:rRNA from 1 species